rnacentral:lncRNA from 1 species
AGAUCCACGCCCAGCAGUCAGAACUUCAUCCGAGUGCUCAGAUCUCAGCCUCACUCCGACUGUAGUCUCAACCCAACCCAAAACCCCAACGAAUCGAACUCACACACACAGUGUUUCCCCAGAUCUGUUACCCUCACUCACAGAGGUCACGAAACCACUCACCACAGAGAGGUUUAAGACAAGAAGGUAGAAGAUGGGUAGAUUUCG